rnacentral:misc_RNA from 1 species
AAAGUCGUAACAAGGUUUCCGUAGGUGAACCUGCGGAAGGAUCAUUAUAAUAUAUGCUCUUCAACUUUUUUAGUUAAGAGACUACACCACUAUCCCAUCCAAUCUUGAGCUAAAAUUAGAUUGCUGAUGUGGUUAUUGUGUCCACCCAGUUGUGAAACUUCAAUUUUGCUUCGGCAGCACUCUCAGUGGGUAACCGCAGGAGAGGUAAGGCUGUCAGAGGCCCAUAUCAAAACCAGUUGAUGAAAUGUCAUGCUGUCUGAUAUCAUACUAUUUGAGAAAUCAAAUUAUAUUAAAACUUUCAGCAACGGAUCUCUUGGUUCUC